GCUCCGGUGGCCUAGUGGUUAGUGCAUCCGCAUCAGAUGCGGGAGGUCGUGGGUUCAUCCCCGUCCGAGUCA